GAAUCGGUGGCGCAAUGGUUAGCGCACCCGUCCGGAGAUCGGGGGAGCCUAGGUUCAAAUCCUUACCGUUACC
rnacentral:tRNA from 1 species